UACAGAGGCCUCGAGCGUUAUGCGGAAUCACUGGGCUUAAAGCGUGCGCAGGCGGUUUUGUAAGUCUGUCGUGAAAUCCCCGGGCUCAACCUGGGAAUUGCGAUGGAGACUGCAAGGCUAGAAUCUGGCAGAGGGGGGUGGAAUUCCACGUGUAGCAGUGAAAUGCGUAGAGAUGUGGAGGAACACCGAUGGCGAAGGCAGCCCCCUGGGUCAAGAUUGACGCUCAUGCACGAAAGCGUGGGGAGCAAACAGG
rnacentral:rRNA from 1 species